AUGAACGCUGGCGGCGUGCCUAAUACCUGCAAGUAGCACGCUGAAGGAAGGAGCUUGCUCUUUCCGGAUGAGUUGCGAACGGGUGAGUAACGCGUAGGUAACCUGCCUGGUAGCGGGGGAUAACUAUUGGAAACGAUAGCUAAUACCGCAUAACAGUAGAUGUUGCAUGAUAUCUACUUAAAAGGUGCAAUUGCACCACUACCAGAUGGACCUGCGUUGUAUUAGCUAGUUGGUGAGGUAACGGCUCACCAAGGCGACGAUACAUAGCCGACCUGAGAGGGUGAUCGGCCACACUGGGACUGAGACACGGCCCAGACUCCUACGGGAGGCAGCAGUAGGGAAUCUUCGGCAAUGGACGGAAGUCUGACCGAGCAACGCCGCGUGAGUGAAGAAGGUUUUCGGAUCGUAAAGCUCUGUUGUAAGAGAAGAACGAGUGUGAGAGUGGAAAGUUCACACUGUGACGGUAUCUUACCAGAAAGGGACGGCUAACUACGUG
rnacentral:rRNA from 1 species